GGUCCUGUAGUGUAGUGGUUAUCACAACGGAUUCUGAUUAGCGGCUUUCCGUUAACCCAGGUUCGAGUCCUGGCAGGACCU